rnacentral:lncRNA from 1 species
UAUGGUUGUAUGAGUGAGGUUGGUAUGCUUCUGAAAGCACAGAACCUUUCAUGCUUUCAAGUUGUUUUCAAUGUUGGGACUUUCGAAUCGACGAUCGGCUUUGUUAGACUUGAUCUAGUGUAUUUGAAGUAUCUACAAAAUAAAUUUUGCGAUUUUUCGAUAUCAUUUGUCUAGCGAUCAAAGGGGUUCAAAAUCAAUGGCUGAAAAUAGAAAUCUUACAAAAUGUGAUGAUAUGAUAUUAAAAUUUUAGAACAAAGAUAUUGAUCUUGUUUUAUGUAGUAUAAAGAAUUUUCUAUCAAAAUUUCGCCCGAUUUGGAUAUUUCUACACAGUUAAACUUGCAAACAGAUCACCACGGCCAUUAAAAUUAUUAAUUUUGAGCCCCUUCGUUCACUAGACAAAUGAUAUCAAAAAAUCAUAAAAUUUAUUUUUCAGGCACUUCAAAUACUCUAGAUCAAGUCUAACGGAGCCGAUCGUCAAUUUAAAAGUCCCAAAAUCGAAAAAGACUUGGAAGCACGGAAGGCUCCGUGCGCUUUCAGAAACAUACCAGCCUCACUCAUG